rnacentral:rRNA from 1 species
GAUGAACGCUGGCGGCGUGCCUAAUACAUGCAAGUCGAGCGAACGGACGAGAAGCUUGCUUCUCUGAUGUUAGCGGCGGACGGGUGAGUAACACGUGGAUAACCUACCUAUAAGACUGGGAUAACUUCGGGAAACCGGAGCUAAUACCGGAUGAUAUUUUGAACCGCAUGGUUCAAAAGUGAAAGACGGUCUUGCUGUCACUUAUAGAUGGAUCCGCGCUGCAUUAGCUAGUUGGUAAGGUAACGGCUUACCAAGGCAACGAUGCAUAGCCGACCUGAGAGGGUGAUCGGCCAAACUGGAACUGAGACACGGUCCAGACUCCUACGGGAGGCAGCAGUAGGGAAUCUUCCGCAGUGGGCGAAAGCCUGACGGAGCAACGCCGCGUGAGUGAUGAAGGUCUUCGGAUCGUAAAACUCUGUUAUUAGGGAAGAACAGAUGUGUAAGUAACGGUGCACAUCUUGACGGUACCUAAGCAGAAAGCCACGGCUAACUACGU